rnacentral:rRNA from 1 species
AGACGGAGGGUGCUAGCGUUGUUCGGAAUCAUUGGGCGUAAAGGGCGUGUAGGCGGCCUGUUAAGUCGUGCGUGAAAGCCCUCGGCUCAACCGAGGAAGGGCGUAUGAAACUGGCAGGCUAGAGUACAGUAGAGGGGAGUGGAAUUUCCGGUGUAGCGGUGAAAUGCUUAGAUAUCGGAAGGAACACCAGUGGCGAAGGCGGCUCUCUGGACUGUAACUGACGCUGAGGUGCGAAAGCGUGGGUAGCGAACAGGAUUAGAAACCCCAGUAGUCC